UGAACGCUGGCGGCGUGCCUAAUACAUGCAAGUCGAGCGACCAGACGAGGAGCUUGCUCCUCUGACGUUAGCGGCGGACGGGUGAGUAACACGUGGAUAACCUACCUAUAAGACUGGGAUAACUUCGGGAAACCGGAGCUAAUACCGGAUAAUAUAUUGAACCGCAUGGUUCAAUAGUGAAAGACGGUUUUGCUGUCACUUAUAGAUGGAUCCGCGCCGCAUUAGCUAGUUGGUAAGGUAACGGCUUACCAAGGCAACGAUGCGUAGCCGACCUGAGAGGGUGAUCGGCCACACUGGAACUGAGACACGGUCCAGACUCCUACGGGAGGCAGCAGUAGGGAAUCUUCCGCAAUGGGCGAAAGCUUGCCGGAGCAACGCCGCGUGAGUGAUGAAGGUCUUCGGAUCGUAAAACUCUGUUAUUAGGGAAGAACAAAUGUGUAAGUAACUAUGCACGUCUUGACGGUACCUAAUCAGAAAGCCACGGCUAACUACGUG
rnacentral:rRNA from 1 species